CGGUGGGAUGGGAUGGGAUGGGAUGGGAUGGGAUGGGAUGGGAUGGGAUAGGAUGGGAUGGGUGGGAUGGAUGGAAUGGGUGGGGGUACCUUUGGGAUGGGUGGGGUCACCAUUGGGAUCGGUGGGAUGGAUGGGGUGGGUGGGGACACCUUUGGGAUGGGUGGGAUGAGUGGGGUUCGCAUUGGGAAUGGUGGGAGGGGUGGGAUGGAUGGGAUGGGAGGGAUCAUUGGUGGGAUGGGUGGAAUCAGUGGGAUGGAUGGGAUGGGUGGGAUGAUGGGAUGGAUGGGAUUACGGCUGGGAUGGAUGGGGUCAUCGGUGGGCUUAUGGGAUGGUGGAAUGGGUGGGAUCACCAGUGGGGUCAUGGGACCAAUGGGUGACAUGGGUGGAUCGUCCAUGGCAUGAGUGGGAUCGCUGGGAUUGAUGGGAUAAUUGGUGGGAUGGGUGGGAUGAUGGGAUGGGGGGAUCGUAGGUGGGAUUGGUGGGAUCAAUAGGAUGGAUGGGAUCAUUGGUGGGGUCAUGGGAUCGAUGGGUGACAUGGGUGGGACCAUGGAUGGGAUCGUCAGCGGCAUCCAUGGGAUCAGUGGGAUCAGUGGGAUGGAUGGGAUCAUCAGCAGCAUCCAUGGGACCAGAGGUAUUGCUGGGAUGGAUGGGAUCAUCAGAGGCAUCCAUGGGAUCAGUGGGAUCAGUGGGAUGGAUGGGAUCAUCAGUGGGGUCAUGGGAUCAGUGGGAUUUCUGGGAUGGAUGGGAUCAUCACUGGGAUCCAUGGGAUCAGUCGCAUCGUUGGGAAGGGUGGGAUCAUCAGUGGGGUCAUGGGAUCAAUGGUUGACAUGGGUGAGGUCACUGGUGGCAUCAGUGGGAUCAGUGGGAUUUCUGGGAUGGAUGGGAUCAUUGUUGGGAUGGGUGGGAUCAUCAGUGGGGUCAUGAGAUCAGUGGGAUUGCAGGGAUGGAUGGGAUGAUCAGUGAGGUCAUGGGAUCAGUGUGAUCACUGGUGUGGAUGGGAUAAUCACUGGGAUCCAUGGGGUCAGUGGGAUCUUUGGGAUGGAUGGGAUCAUCAGUGGGGUCAUGAGAUCAGUGGGAUUGCUGGGAUGGGUGGGAUGAUCAGUGAGGUCAUGGGAUCAGUGGGAUCGCUGGUGUGGAUGGGAUCAUCACUGGGAUCCAUGGGAUCAGUGGGAUCGUUGGGAUGGGUGGGAUCAUCAGUGGGGUCAUGGAAUCGGUGGGUGACAUGGGUGGGAUCAAUGGUGGGAUCAAUGGGAUGGAUGGGAUGAUUGGUGGGGUCAUUUGAUCGAUAGGUGACAUGGGUGGGGUCACCAAUGGGAUCAUCGGUGACAUCAGUGGGAUCAAUAGGAUCACUGGAAUGGAUGGGAGCAUCAGUGGGAUGGGUGGGAUCAUCAGUGGGAUCAUGGGAUGGAUGGAUGACAUGGGUGGGGUCACUGGUGGCAUCAGUGGGAUCACUGGGAUCACUGGGAUGGAUGGGAUCAUUGGUGGGAUGGGUGGGAUCAUCAGUGGGGUCAUGGGAUCAGUGGGAUUGCAGGGAUGGAUGGGAUGAUCAGUGAGGUCAUGGGAUCAGUGUGAUUGCUGGUGUGGAUGGGAGCAUCACAGGGAUCCAUGGGAUCGGUGGGAUCGUUGGGAUAGGUGGGAUCAUCAGUGGGGUCAUGGGAUCAGUGGGAUUGCUGGGAUGGGUGGGAUCAUUGGUGGGGUCAUGGGAUCGAUGGGUGACAUGAGUGGGAUCAAUGGUGGGAUCUAUGGGAUGGAUGGGAUGAUUGGUGGGGUCAUGGGAUCGAUGGGUGACAUGGGUGGGGUCACCAAUGGGAUCAUCGGUGACAUCAGUGGGAUCAAUAGGAUCACUGGAAUGGAUGGGAGCAUCAGUGGGAUGGGUGGAAUCAUCAGUGGGGUCAUGGGAUCAGUGGGAUCGCUGGUGUGGAUGGGAUAAUCACUGGGAUCCAUGGGGUCAGUGGGAUCUUUGGGAUGGAUGGGAUCAUUGUUGGGGUCAUGAGAUCAGUGGGAUUACUGGAAUGGGUGGGAUCAUUGGUGGGAUCGGCGUAGUGGAUGGGAUCAGUGGGAUCAUCAGCGGGAUGUAUGGGAACACUGAGACUGGGAUAGCUGGGAUGGAUGGGAUCAGCAGCGGCGUCAUGGGAUCGAUGGUGACAUCACCAGUGGGAUCAUGGGUGGCAUCAGGGGGAUCGUUGGGAUGGGUGGGAUCACUGAGGGAUGGAUGGGAUGGGUCGGAUCGCUGCUGGCAUCAGUGGGAUCGGGGGGACCAAUGGCAUUGCUGGGAUCGCAUGGAUGGAUGGGAUCGUCGGUGGGUUAUGGGAUCAAUGGGUGACAUGGGUGGGACCAUGGAUGGGAUCAAUGGGAUGGUUGGGAUCAAUGGUGGGAUCAAUGGGAUGGAUGGGAUCGUCGGUGGGGUUAUGGGAUCAAUGGGUGACAUGGGUGGGGUCACUGGUGGGAUCAUGGGUGGCAUCAGUGAGAUCAGUGGGGUCGCUGGGAUGGAUGGGAUCAUCACUGGGAUUGUUGGGGUUGGUGGGACGGAUGGGAUCAUCACUGGGAUUGGUGGGAUGGAUGGGAUGGAUGGGAUCAUCACUGGGAUGGAUGGGAUCAUCACUGGGAUUGGUGGGACGGAUGGGAUCAUACUGGGAUGGAUGGGAUCAUACUGGGAUGGAUGGGAUCAUCACUGGGAUUGAUGGGACGGGUGGAAUCAUACUGGGAUGGAUGGGAUCAUCAGUGGGAUUGGUGGGAUGGAUGGGAUGGAUGGGAUCAUCACUGGGAUGGAUGGGAUCAUCACAGGGAUUGGGGGGAUGGAUGGGAUCAUACGGGGAUGGAUGGGAUCAUCACUGGGAUUGGUGGGAUGGAUGGGAUCAUACUGGGAUGGAUGGGAUAAUCACUGGGAUUGGUGGGAUGGAUGGGAUCAUACUGGGAUGGAUGGGAUAAUCACUGGGAUUGGUGGGAUUGGAGGGAUGGAUGGGAUCAUCACUGGGAUUGGUGGGAUGGAUGGGAUCAUACUGGGAUGGAUGGGAUCAUCACUGGGAUUGGUGGGAUCACUGGGAUCGGUGGGAUCGCUGGGAUGGAUGGGAUCACUGAGAUGUCUGGGAUUGGUGGGAUGGGUGGGAUCAACACUGACGUCAUGUGAUCGAUGGUGACAUGGAUGGGAUCACAAAUGGGAUCAUAGUUGGUAUCAGAGGGAUCACUGGGAUGGAUGGGAUCAUUGGUGGGACUGCUGGGACGUGCGGGAUGGAUGGGAUCAUCAGUGGGGUCACGGGACCAAUGGGUCACUGGUGGCAUCAUCGGUGGGAUCAGUGGGAUUGCUGGUAUCACUGGGAUAAAUGGGACCAUCUGUAGGAUGGGUUGGAUUGCUGGGGGGGUCAUGGGAUCAAUGGGAGACACGUCACCAUUGGGAUCAUCGUGGGGUCAUGGGAUCAAUGGGAGACAUGUCACCAUUGGGAUCAUCGUGGGGUCAUGGGAUCAAUGGGAGACACGUCACCAUUGGGAUCAUCGUGGGGUCAUGGGAUCAAUGGGAGACAUGUCACCAUUGGGAUCAUUGGUGGGGUCAUGGGAUGGAUGGGCGACAUGACACCAUUGGGAUCAUUGGUGGGGUCAUGGGAUCAAUGGGAGACACGUCACCAUUGGGAUCACUGGUGUGGUCAUAGGAUGGAUGAGUGAC
ensembl:lncRNA